AGUGAACGCUGGCGGUAGGCCUAACACAUGCAAGUCGAACGGAAGCACAGUAAGAGCUUGCUCUUACGGGUGGCGAGUGGCGGACGGGUGAGGAAUACAUAGGAAUCUACUUUUUCGUGGGGGAUAACGUAGGGAAACUUACGCUAAUACCGCAUACGACCUACGGGUGAAAGCAGGGGAUCUUCGGACCUUGCGCGAUUGAAUGAGCCGAUGUCGGAUUAGCUAGUUGGCGGGGUAAAGGCCCACCAAGGCGACGAUCCGUAGCUGGUCUGAGAGGAUGAUCAGCCACACUGGAACUGAGACACGGUCCAGACUCCUACGGGAGGCAGCAGUGGGGAAUAUUGGACAAUGGGCGAAAGCCUGACGGAGCAACGCCGCGUGAGUGAUGAAGGUCUUCGGAUCGUAAAACUCUGUUAUUAGGGAAGAACAAAUGUGUAAGUAACUAUGCACGUCUUGACGGUACCUAAUCAGAAAGCCACGGCUAACUACGUG
rnacentral:rRNA from 1 species